rnacentral:rRNA from 1 species
AAUGAACGUUGGCGGCGUGGAUUAGGCAUGCAAGUCGAGCGCGAACCGUAGCAAUACGGGGAGAGCGGCGAAAGGGAGAGGAAUACGUGGAUACCUACCCUCAGGUUCAGGAUAGCUAUGGGAAACUAUAGGUAAUACUGAAUAAUAUCUCCGGAUCAAAGGUGUGAUUCCACCUGAGGAGGGUCCGCGUCCUAUUAGCUAGUUGGUGAGGUAACGGCUCACCAAGGCGAAGAUGGGUACGGGAUGUGAGAGCAUGAUCCCGCUCACUGGGACUGAGACACUGCCCAGACACCUACGGGUGGCUGCAGUCGAGAAUCUUCGGCAAUGGGGGAAACCCUGACCGAGCGACGCCGCGUGCGAGAUGAAGGCCUUC